AGAAGUUCAAGAGUAAUUUAAAAAACAAAGUAUAGUGCUAGCCAGGUUCAUCAUAAUUUCCUUGGAGUUGGAAUGCAACAACCACUAAGAUGCCAAGGGUAAGGAGAGAAGUUCAAGAGUAAUGAAAAAAGGUAAAUCAUAGUGCUAGCAAGGUUCAUCAUGGUUUUAUUAGAGUUAGAUUGUAACAACUACUAAGAUGUCAAAAGUAAGGAGGGAAGUUCAAGGAUAACAUUCACAAAGUACACAUUAAUGCUAUAAAAAAUUUGCAAGAGAUAAUGAAGGAAUAAUGCGGAGAUGAGUCAUGCCAUAUAAAAGUAAACCACGAAAGAAUAUGACGAUGGUUAACUCGUUCGCUAUCUCUCGCCUACUUCUCCCCUAUUCAUGUUCUUCCAUCUCUCACGAUCAUUGAUUUUGUUUGUUUUUCAUAUAUCCACUUGUUGCAUGAUCUCCAAUGCUUGAUAACGAAGUAUAAUUCUUUUUCAAAAAAUAUCUAGAAUAAGGUGAAUAUCAAAAUUUUGUUUUAAGUUUUAUAAGUGUAGUUUCAUGUACAACAACUCAAACAAUUUACUUGCUUGACUUAGAAAAAUUGCCUCUUAAUAUUGAGAAGGUGCAACAGCGCAUAGCAUCUUUAUACCAUUUAACAAUCAUUAUUGAUGUUCUUCUAAAGGAUUCUUUUAAUUAAAUAAAUGGAGAGGGUCCAAGGCCCCUCACUAGCUCUUACUAAACAAUGAAAUAAAAUUAUAGAAUGACAUGGUCAGUAAAGACCAGAGAUAUAAGUUUGCAGGGGAGUAGAGUUUAUUUAACAUCUAUGAUAGUUUAAAAUGACUUGAGGUAGACUUAGCCAAGCACAAGGCACUUUUAAACUUGAAUGUGCUAACAAUUGCACGAAGAACUGCAUUUUGAGAAGUCCUUUCUUCAAGAAAAUGUUUGGGUUUUUUUCCUCCACAGAUCCCAGCAUGCAAAUAUAACUACCGGAUCCCAAGCCUUAGUUCUUUAAGAACCCUCUUAAUUUUCCAUCUCAUCCAAAGCAAAAGAAGGGAAGUGUAGAUUGUCAUAAUUUUGGUGUAGAUCAAAUAUGUCGGCCCAAGAUUCAGAAUAAACAUCGAUCAAAAA
rnacentral:lncRNA from 1 species